GCUACUCUGAGCAGCUUCCAUGGUUCCAGCGAUAAGCGAUACCUGCUUGCCAAUGAUGAUAAGGCGGAUCUUUGUUCAACAUGCACGGUCUGGUAGACGAAGCCUUCGAAUGGUGAGUGCAUAGUCUUCAUUCGCAGUGUACUGCCUGGCCUUUCCCAUACCGCUCUGCAACAACUGGGUUCAGUUAUAGGCUUGUCGGCGGAGCGUUAACGUUCUUAGUGUAAAAUCGUUUCGCUUUAGCUAAGUUAAACAGAUGAAAAGGGGCAAGCUUCAAGAGGAGCUACGCGCUUUUGUCUUCCAGUAGCUUUAAGUUAGGCUUAACUGAGCCCACAUUCUGUUCGUCACAGAGCAACCGUUCCUAUACUUGCCGACGCAGUUGAGCUUUGACGAACGGAAUGACUUUCUUUCUCCACAUGAAGAGGAACUUCGCGCUGCAGUUCGUAAGCCAAAUGGGUGUUACGAUAAAGGUAAGCAAUAACUUCUGUGUCCACAUUCGAUUCCAAUUCCAUUGUGGUUAGGGCUAGCUUACGGUCGCGCUGUUAGGCGUUUACUUCGCCGAGGCCGCUUUUUGAACGUGACUUGCUGGUUGUAACUUGGUUACUUUCGUUAAUAAAAUGUGAACUUUCGUGUUCUCUUUCUCAUUGCCCUUGACGCAAACAUGCACUAGCUUACUGGUUGAGGCAGGGACACUGCGUCGUCCCCGCUGUCAUUUUACUUUGUCAAUUUGUUGUACUAUUAUCUUGUAUUUGGUUAUCAUUGCAAUAAAACUUUGCUUCCUCGUUUCGCCUUUGUCUUUCAUCAGCCCCUGACACAAACAUGCACAGCUUACAGGUUGAGGCAGGUAAAUUUUUGAGUGCCCCCCUUGCCUUCCAGAAACUCCAGCCAUCAGCUGUACCGCAGUCUUCCAACCGGAUAGAUACAAGGACAUCUGACAAUGGCAUGGGACACCACCUGUUGGAGUAUACCAUUCGCCUUCUCUUUUAUUGGCGAUAUUGGCUAAUACCUUACUUUUGUUUUACAGGUGCUGUUCACUGGAGUGGAGCCACUGGUGCUACUGAGGACUGCUUUGUGAAGCCUUUGCUGUAAUUUUCCUUUAUUCCAUUUCGUUGUUGCCAAAUAAAUGUCUUCGAAAACA